UCUUGAAAUGGCGACCGAGAAGGCCCGACCGGAGCUCAACAAGAUUGAACUAAAAUCCCAAGCACUCCACGGCACACACUCUCUCUUCUGUCGACUCUCUCUCUCUCAUUAAAAUUUUCUCACCUCUUGACCACCCUUUGGGGUGGUAAAACCACUAAUUGGUCACCUGUACUAGCAUUAUUACCACCUAGAAAAGCCAUUUUUAGACCGUUAUUUGCCCGUUAGAAAAAAUUUAAGCCGGAAAAGCUAUAUGAGAUUCACGGAAUCCUACCGGAUAUUAUAAUAAACAUCCAUCUGCUCCAGAUUCCUAUACACAUACUCUAAUUCAACCUUUCUGUUCAAAGACUUCAUGUUUCUUUGCUCCUAAGACACCCUAGAUUCAAUUGUUCUAAGACUCCCUGGUUUACUGUUACCCCAAGACACCUUUGAUUCAGUUGAUCUAAGACACCAUAAAAUCUUUUAUUUUCCUCCUUGUAUCCCUAAAACCCCCUUGUUUUGGAUUGAUUCAAGAUCCCAACUUUUCUCCCUCUUAAUCUUUUUUACCCAUUCUGAUUCAUCCUCUUCCUUAAUCGAAUUUGAAUCGGUUUCAGAUUUGGGUUUAUCCAACGUUUUCUAGAUCUCUAAUUUCUGUCCUAUGGCUUCAAACAACAAUAUUUAUUUCCCUCAAGUCAGAUGGAUAACUAAGAACCAACCUCCCUAGCAGAUCGGUUAAGGAUAGCAUCUCUCAUAUGUCUCAUCUCUUCACAAAAUUGAAGAAAAGACUCAAGAAGAAGAAGAAGAAACUAGUUAAUUUAUGUACUAACAAAAAUUGGGCAAUAAUUUCAAGUGGAAAUCUGGAUACCCCCCUCAUCAAUUCUUCUUCAGCAACCUUCACUAAUACUGCAUCUAGCUUGACUCUUCAAAUCUGACCAGAGCUCAACAAUUUUUUACGGAGGUAAAUCCAAGCCAUUUGCUGAUAUUCAUCUCCAAUGCUAAAGAAAAAUACAGAUUCUCUAAAGGUAACACCAAUAAUUCUAAUGCCUUAUUUCUCACACAUUUCAACAUACAAUUAUCAAGAUUAAUUGAGGUUAUUGUAGAGAAGCCAGAGGGGAGUCUUCAGGAUGGAGAACAAGGGAACAACUUGAACUCAAUGCUGCUGAAAAUGCUUUCCAAUGGGCUACAGAAUUAACGGGUCACAACAUCGAAUUUCAAAGUGAUUCUGAACCAACUCUCCUAAAGAUUAUGGAAAUGUACGCUCAAGCUAAAGAAGAAAGAUUCAAGAAUAGUGAUUCUUUUGGAAACUCUACCAAAACUCCAGCAAACUUUAAAGCUAUGGCCUUCAACUUAGUUAGUAGAUUUGACAACAUUAUGCCUGCUGCAAUUUCUAGAUUAUGUAACAAUCCAUCUUUAAUGAUAAAUGGAUUGAUGAAAAACCCACAGAACUGAUCAACCUCAUUUAUAUGCGAGAAGAUCUAAUCUGGCCUUUGUAUUACCGCAGCACUUAAAGUCUUUCGAGUUUUCAA